GAGCCAGCUCAGCCCAGAGGUUACAUCGACCAAAACUUUGCUUAGAUCCCCUAAUCGCUUCCAGCGGUUUAAGACCCGCGGGCGCUGCCUGACUUU